UGAAUUAGCGGCCGCCAAUUCGCCCUUUAGAGUUUGAUCAUGGCUCAGGAUGAACGCUAGCGGCAGGCCUAAUACAUGCGAAGUCGAACGAAUUACAGGACUUCGGUUCUGUAAUUAGUGGCGCACGGGUGCGUAACGCGUAUGCAACCUACCUUCUAUUGGGGGAUAGCCUUCCGAAAGGGAGAUUAAUACCGCAUAAGACCAUGACCUGGCAUCGGGUAGUGGUUAAAGCUGAGGCGAUAGAAGAUGGGCAUGUCUGUGCCAUUAGCUAGUUGGUAGUGUAACGGACUACCAAGGCUUCGAUGGCUAGGGGCUCUGAGAGGACGGUCCCCCACACUGGUACUGAGACACGGACCAGACUCCUACGGGAGGCAGCAGUAGGGAAAUAUUGGGCAAUGGCCGAGAGGCUGACCCAGCCAUGGCCGCGUGCAGGAUCGAAGGCCUUCUGGGUUGUAAACUGCUUUUAUCAGGGAAGAAAACGCUCCUGCGGGAGUAACUGACGGUACCUGAUGAAUAAGGCACCGGCUAACUCCGUGCCAGGCAGCCGCGGUAAUACGGAGGGUGCAAGCGUUGUCCGGAUUCACAAUUGGGUUUACAGGGUGCGGUAGGACGGACCGUUAAGUCAGCGGUGAAAUCCCAAG
rnacentral:rRNA from 1 species